GGAGGACACGGCUUCUUCGGGAUCACUACCGGUGGAAUGUAGAUUGGUGGAUGCUCUAUCUUCGGCGGCGGCUUGUAAACCGGAACUGGAGGUGGGUGCUCUAUCUUCGGCGGUGGAAUGACUAUCUUUGGCGGCGGCUUGUGGACUGGAACCGGCGGUGGAUCAACUUUCUUCGGCGGUUUAGGCGGACAAGGCUUCUUCGUUGGUGGUUUGUAGACUGGCACCGGCGGUGGAAGCUCCACCUUCGGCGGCUUAGGCGGACAUGGCUUCUUCGGUGGCUUGUGUACCGGAACUGGAGGUGGGUGCUCUAUCUUUGGCGGUGGCUUGUAAACCGGAACCGAAGGUGGGUGCUCUAUCUUUGGCGGUGGCUUGUAAACCGGAACCGAAGGUGGGUGCUCUAUCUUUGGCGGUGGCUUGUAAACCGGAACUGGAGGUGGGUGCUCUAUCUUUGGCGGUGGCUUGUAAACCGGAACCGGAGGUGGGUGCUCUAUCUUCGGCGGUUUAGGUGGACAAGGCUUCUUAGGAAUAGGCGGUGGAAGCUCCACCUUUGGUGAUGGCUCGUAAAUCGGGACAGGUGGGGGAACCUCUUUCUUUGGCGGUGGAUCGUAAACCGGAACCGGAG
rnacentral:lncRNA from 1 species